CAGUCGCCGCGGUAAUACGGAGGGUGCAAGCGUUAAUCGGAAUUACUGGGCGUAAAGCGCACGCAGGCGGUCUGACAAGUCAGAUGUGAAAUCCCCGGGCUUAACCUGGGAACUGCAUUUAAAACUGUCAGGCUGGAGUCUUGUAGAGGGGGGUGGAAUUCCAGGUGUAGCGGUGAAAUGCGUAGAGAUCUGGAGGAAUACCGGUGGCGAAGGCGGCCCCCUGGACAAAGACUGACGCUCAGGUGCGAAAGCGUGGGGAGCAAACAGGAUUAGAUACCCCGGUAGUCCCUGUCUCUUAUAA
rnacentral:rRNA from 1 species